AACAUUGAAAUUUAUUUUGGAGCCGGCAUUUGGAACAAGUUUUGCUUUAUUCCUUCUUUAUUCGGAUAUUCUAGGAAAUGUGCCGAAAACUCGAAUUGAAGCUCGAAGAAGCAACCCACUGCCGCGUGAUAUUUCUCUCUCUUGAAGUAAGUCUCCACCGGCUUAUCGCCUCGAAAAAGAAAAAAACAAGAAAAAAAAAAUUGUAGGGGCUUUUGAGUGUUGUGAAUAAUGUUCCAAUGCUAAUGAGGGCGCGCGCUUACUCAUCGGUGAGCAGGGCAAAGAGGGCGACGGACGAGGAGGAGGCAGGUCAGCAGCCAAUAAAAGGAGAGUAAAAAUAGGCAUAACGCAUGCCUCAAAUAUGUAUGCGUGCGAUAUAUGCCACAAAGGCAGCACCAGCAGCAGCAGCAGCAGCAGCAUUGGAAGAGGCUUAAACUUUUGUAGAUACAAACAAGUAAAAUGCGCUAGAUAAGAGUGCACGACCAUGAGCUACCCUGUUUCCCAUGCAAAAACUUUAUGAAAAUCCCAGACGCUGAUGAAACUGGUAACUACGAACAAUGGCAAGCUCGAGUUUGAGUUCGGGUCUUCACCUCGAGUUCCAGUUCGCGCGCGCAGCAGCAGACAAAGAGCAGCCUUUGUGCAGACACAGACACACAUGCAAGCACAAUGAAAUUCUAAUAAGAACGUCGAGCCGAUCGCAUUAGAAAAGUUCGAGAAAAUAUCGUAUGGGCACGGAGCGAUUGUAUGAGAACGACAUAGCGGAGCGGAGCGGGCGUAACAGGCAACAGGCCUGUCCUCUCAGUUGGUGAGUGCCAACUUGUUGUUUCCUUCUUGAAAAUUCCGGUUCUGUUUGUUGUUGGCUGCUGUGAGGGGCAAUGAGGGGUAGUUAGAAACAGAGAAUGGGCGACAGAGGCAGACGUAAUUAAUGAUCCGAAAAACGCCGACAGCAGCGUAUUGGAGAUUGUUGGAGACUACGAAAUGCAUGUCGGGCAGUUGUUCUCUUCGAAGAGACCAAACGAUAUACAGGUGCGGAUUAGGGUCACUCGGCAUGACGAAGACUGAGGAGUAGCCAUAAAUUGUGCGAUUGAAAUACAAAAAAAGAAGAACAGAAACACAAAAGUUGCAUUCAAUUGGGGUUCGACUAUGUCAACUGCACUUUAAAUUUUAAUGAUUGCCCAUCGCAUAUACAUAUGAAUUGCCAAAACAAUGUAAACAAUAAUACCUCAUA